ACAAAAAACCCAGGGAGAACCCCCUGAAAUACAACUUCAAAUGAUCCCAUUUCACUGCGCGCAGCUGGGAAACAGCAGCAGCAGCAGGACAGUCCAACCUGGUGUGAGGCAAUCAGAGAUGAGAAGCACCUUUCAAGUUAAUAUGGAAAUGGCAAAGCUGCACACGGCAUAGGUUCUUCAAACAGCGGCUUUGCCCGGUAGAUUUGGAGACCGGCCAACCGAGAGCGGAGAUGACAGCAAAGGCCAUUUCGACGGUUCGGAGCGACCGUACACCGAUGGGUAAAGGCAAGACUGCAAGGGGAAGAACGGCUGUGUCCUGUUGACCUCGAGCCUCCGGUGAUGGAAGCUGCUGCUGCCGUUCCUUUGAGGAAGUGGCCCUGGUCUCAUGAAUUGUGGAAUGAGAGGCCAACAGCAAUGAGGUCAGGAUUGAAUGGGGAAUUUUAACUCUGUACAAGAGGGAACUGGACCUUGAUGAGCAGAGGAGGAGUUCAGCAAAAGCUUUCACCCUCUGAGGAGACUUCUAAGUGACCUUGAAGAUAUAGCACAGUUUUGUGGAUUAACAAUAAGUCCGAGGAUAUACCGGAGUCUGCACUCAAGCAGCCUUAGGAGCAACUGAAGAUUUUUAUCUAAAACAGAGCUAAAUCUCUGCAUUUAAUUCUGCUACUUGGACCACAAACUGAUAACUGUAGGGGAAGAAACGUGAAUCAAGAAGAUUACAAGAAAAUCCAAUAUUGAUAUUCAUCUAGCGAAAAAAAGAGAAGGACUGUGGCUCUCCAUCAAAUCCAGAUCUGUUUUUAAGAACAAGAUAGAGCCAAGAGCAUCAGCGCCUGGCUAUUUCAAAUUGCCUUUCUUCAUCACAGGGAGACAGGCUACGUGUUGUCGAUCCUGCCCGGCCUGGAUAUCAGCCUACGGACUGCGAGGAAGCCUCUUCAGGAGCCAGAGGUGCCUUCGGACAUCUAUAGACGGGACAAAAUCAGCGCUACCCUCGAUCAGCUGCUCAUCGCGGAAGACAAGUCACCCACCUCAAGUUUGCACUUGUUUGAGGGGCAGGUGGUUUCAGCGGGACACUGAACGGAAAGUCAGGUGAAGAACCCAAGAUGGAACAAAACAGUCCGUCCACUGGAGACUGCACAAAUCUCACGAUCAGGACACCGAAGCACACAGAAGGAGCUGCCUGCCCCAGGUCACAUAGCAGACAGUGGUACAGCCGGAAUUCGAACUCAGGUUGGUGCGGACACCUACAGAAAACUUUCAAAAUAUUACCUUGAUCAGCUUUGGAAAGAGAGAUUUGGGAUUUGUAGCUGGCGUUGGCAGACGAAACAUUAACAUGUCAUCGACUGUUUUCCCAAAGUAAAACUUUCUCAAGUUGCUAUGGUUGAUGCAUCUCUGCAGAUCCGACACCAAAAGCCCUGCUGCUUCUCUACAGUGCGUGCCGCUGUCAGGAUGGCAAAGUCUGAGUCCAGCAACAUUCUCCCCGUCUCCACGGGACUUGGUUGAGACAGAGGGUCAGACAGGAGGUUCCCAAGAUGUGGAGUGUCCCCUGUGGGAAUUGCUGUCCAGUGCAAAAGACAAAAGGUGAAGGAGAGUUCAGGAACCACGGCUCCAUGGAAAUUUCUGCUCAGCUGCGCCACAGGAGCAGGAGAGAGACUGAGCUGAGGAAGGAAGAGGUGAUUAUCCCUUUUCUACCAUUAUCCAUCACAAGGUACUUGAAAUGAGAACCGACAGCCCUCUGCCGAAACCGUGAGUUCCGAACUAACAAAACCAACCUUCCCUGGCGAACCAGCAUUACUGUGGCUCAUUUCAUCAAGUGACCAAAAUUACAAAACUCACGGUUGGGGACCAUGCCCAGCAACUCUACUGAACCAUAAUUCCAAGUUCUCUGCACAUAGUAAGAGCUCAAUAAAUACCCCCGAAGGAAAAUGACCAAGAGAAGAAUCUCCUUGGUAUUCCGGGCACCUAUUCCUCUUUACACCACCCCGCAAAAUGAUUUCUCUGAGGCCGGCAGGAGGUUUGUGGAUUGGAGAUUUAAUAACUUGUGUGGGCGUUGGCUGUAUCGGAGGCAAAGCAACCAACAAAUAUCGCAUCCUGGAAAUGCUGAGUAGGACCUGCUGCUCAACUAGCAGGAGUGCUAACCUUGGGCUUCUUGGUCUCUCUGGACCCCUGAACUGUGUCAGUGCCGUGAUUAAGUCCGUCAGAGAUGACCUCUCUCGUACCGUAGCAUAGUGGAUUGACGGUUUGAAGAAUGAGCAGCAGGAGAGACCAGGGAACGUGAGGAGACGGGGGAAAGACAAGAGGAAUUUGGGGUGAUGCUCAUUAGAAUGCCCAUUAAGUUCAGAUAAUUAGCAAUAGGAACCCCCAGAGAGAGACAGAGAAGCACGAGGAUUAAAAACACAGCCAGAUCUUCUGUGCCAUCCCAUUUGGGUCUCCUCUGCAACUUGGCUAGUGUUAAAGGGGGAAGGAAUGAGAUCUCACCUAGGAGCUGACACCAGACUUUUCUUCCUGCUGACUUGCCCUUGUGUGGGUGUUUCACAAAAACAAUGCUUAUGGUUCUUUUUUUUUCCUCCAGAACCGAUGAACGUGUUGGAUGUCAGGCGGUCGGACUUUUUCCUUCAAGCAGUCGUAAACCCAAUGGGGAAUGUUGCUUGAAAAAUAAAUGGUGGGCUGUGGCCGUAUUUGUUAGCA